rnacentral:rRNA from 1 species
CACGUAGGGGGCAAGCGUUGUCCGGAAUCAUUGGGCGUAAAGAGCGUGUAGGCGGCUCGGUAAGUCCGCUGUGAAAGUCCAGGGCUCAACCCUGGAAUGGCCGGUGGAAACUGUCGGGCUAGAGUCCGGAAGAGGCGAGUGGAAUUCCUGGUGUAGCGGUGAAAUGCGCAGAUAUCAGGAGGAACACCAAUGGCGAAGGCAGCUCGCUGGGACGGUACUGACGCUGAGACGCGAAAGCGUGGGGAGCAAACAGG